ACACUAAGUGCAUUUUCUAACGUACAUAUAGUGUUUCUCUUAACAGCGCCAAAAUUGUAUGGUUCUAUUUGGACCCAAGAUAAUAAACUUCUUUUUGGAAGUUGGCGGAGUGCUCGAAGCCUGCUUCACCUCCGCAGCGGGUCGACGCGGUACUGCACAAUCUCCGGGGCCGGCCCACGCAUU